GGGGUUGUGGCUCAGAGGUAGAGUGCUCACCUAGCACAUGUGAGGCCCUGGGUUCAAUCCUCAGCACCGCA
rnacentral:tRNA from 1 species